AUGCAAGUCGAGCCGAUGAUUAAAGAUAGCUUGCUAUUUUUAUGAAGAGCGGCGAACGGGUGAGUAACGCGUGGGAAAUCUGCCGAGUAGCGGGGGACAACGUUUGGAAACGAACGCUAAUACCGCAUAACAAUGAGAAUCGCAUGAUUCUUAUUUAAAAGAAGCAAUUGCUUCACUACUUGAUGAUCCCGCGUUGUAUUAGCUAGUUGGUAGUGUAAAGGACUACCAAGGCGAUGAUACAUAGCCGACCUGAGAGGGUGAUCGGCCACACUGGGACUGAGACACGGCCCAGACUCCUACGGGAGGCAGCAGUAGGAAUCUUCGGCAAUGGGGGCAACCCUGACCGAGCAACGCCGCGUGAGUGAAGAAGGUUUUCGGAUCGUAAAACUCUGUUGUUAGAGAAGAACGUUAAGUAGAGUGGAAAAUUACUUAAGUGACGGUAUCUAACCAGAAAGGGACGGCUAACUACGAUGCCAGCAGCCGCGGUAAAUACGUAGUCCCAAGCGUUGUCCGGAUUUAUUGGGCGUAAAGCGAGCGCAG
rnacentral:rRNA from 1 species